rnacentral:rRNA from 1 species
GACGAACCGUGCGAACGUUGUUCGGAUUCACUGGGCUUAAAGGGCGCGUAGGCGGGCGAUCAAGUCAGGGGUGAAAGCCUCCAGCUCAACUGGAGAAGUGCCUCUGAUACUGGUCGUCUUGAGGGAGGUAGGGGCAUGUGGAACUUCCGGUGGAGCGGUGAAAUGCGUAGAUAUCGGAAGGAACGCCGGUGGCGAAGCGACGUGCUGGACCUCUUCUGACGCUGAGGCGCGAAAGCUAGGGGAGCGAACGGG